rnacentral:tRNA from 1 species
GUGUUCGUAGUGUAGCGGCUUCGCACGCGACUUUGUGAAAGUCGAGGUGGUGGGUUCAACUCCCCCCGGACACC